rnacentral:misc_RNA from 1 species
AACUUUCAGCAACGGAUCACUUGGCUCUCGCAUCCAUGAAGAACGCAGCGAAAUGCGAUAAGUAAUGUGAAUUGCAGAACUCAGUGAAUCAUCGAAUCUUUGAACGCACCUUGCGCUCCUUGGUAUUCCGAGGAGCAUGCCUGUUUGAGUGUCAUGAAAUUCUCAACUGCCUUUUAGCAUUUAUGUUAAGGGUGAGGUUGGAGUUGGAGGAUAAUUGCUGGCGCAACUGAGGUUGCUUGUUGGCUCCUCUUGAAUGGAUGAGCUUUUCUGAUAGGAUCAUAGCUCAGUAACACUAAUGUGAUAAUUAUCUACGUUAGAUGUGAAGAGGCUCUUACAGAAAAGGUGUAUCUUGGGGAUAACAAACCCUUGACUUUGACAAAUCUGACCUCAAAUCAGGUAGGACUACCCGCUGAACUUAAGCAUAUCAAUAAGCGGAGGCU